CCUACGGGGGGCUGCAGUGGGGAAUUUUCCGCAAUGGGCGAAAGCCUGACGGAGCAACGCCGCGUGGGGGAAGAAGGUCUUUGGAUUGUAAACCCCUUUUCUCAGGGAAGAAUUCCUGACGGUACCUGAGGAAUCAGCCUCGGCUAACUCCGUGCCAGCAGCCGCGGUAAUACGGAGGAGGCAAGCGUUAUCCGGAAUUAUUGGGCGUAAAGCGUUCGUAGGUGGCUUUUCAAGUCGGCGGUUAAAGACCCGGGCUUAACUCGGGAGCAGCCGUG
rnacentral:rRNA from 1 species